rnacentral:rRNA from 1 species
GUAGUCUGCAACUCGACUACAUGAAGCUGGAAUCGCUAGUAAUCGCAGAUCAGAAUGCUGCGGUGAAUACGUUCCCGGGUCUUGUACACACCGCCCGUCACACCAUGGGAGUCGGGGGUGCUUGAAGUGCGUCGCCGCAAGGCGCGCCCUAGAGCAAAACCGGUGACUGGGGCUAAGUCGUAACAAGGUACC